rnacentral:lncRNA from 1 species
UGUAUGAGGGGUAACGGCACACCACUGCUGAUGCACAUGCAGGACAGUUCAUCACCCCACAUCACACAGCGGGAGCUAUUCAGGAUUUCAGGAGCAUCUGAUAAAACACCACAGUUCUUUCAGGCUCAAUCCCCUCCCAGAACAUGCCCAUUUUGGGGUUCAGGCAAGUCCCUGGAGCUCUGCAAGAUAUCUCUGCCUUUUCUCCAGCUGUGAGCAGUGGGACUUCAAUUGUUGGCUUCUCGAACAGGAUUACGCAACUGAACUCAGCUGCAGUGUGUAUUGCGGCCAGUGAGAAGUACCUCUCAGCCAGGCAUUGCAAAGUCACUUGAAAAGGCUCAGAGCAGCUCUCCAAAGCCUUUUCCACGCGGCUCUUGUAGAUUAUGAGGGUCUCAAUCUCCUGCACCAUCUGCUCAAACUUCUGCACCAGUUCCUGCCUCCAAAAUUUGAUGUCCUGGAUCCUCCGUUCUGAAAUAGAGAUGCAAACUCUUAUCAUAGUUAAGAAUGGAAGUCGAUAACUCUGCUAGAUCAUUUGAAAUAUA